AACGUCCUGCUAAACCCGUCCCGC
rnacentral:siRNA from 1 species